rnacentral:tRNA from 1 species
GGACCUUUAGCUCAGUUGGUUAGAGCAGACGACUCAUAACCGUCUGCUCGUAGGUUCGAUUUCUACCGGUCUUCCC